UACCUGGGUUGAUUCUGCCAGUAGUCAUAUGCUCUGUCUCAAAGAUUAAGCCAUGCAUGUCUAAGUAUAAGCAACUUUGUACUGUGAAACUGCGAAUGGCUCAUUAAAUCAGUUAUAGUUUAUUUGAUGGUUUUUGCUACAUGGAUAACUGUGGUAAUUCUAGAGCUAAUACAUGCAUUCAAGCCCCGACUUCCGGAGGGGGUGUAUUUAUUAGAUAAAAAUCAACUUUGUUGGUGAAUGAUAAUAACUUCUCGGACCGCAUGGUCUCGUGCUGGCGGUGCUUCAUUCAAAUAUCUGCCCUAUCAACUGUCUAUGGUAGGAUAGAGGCCUACCAUGGUUGCGAAGGGUAACGGGGAAUAAGGGUUCGAUUCCGGAGAGGGAGCCUGAGAAACAGCUACCACGUCCAAGGAAUGCAGCAUGCGCGCAAAUUACCCAGUCCCAACACGGGGAGGUAGUGACAAUAUGUAACAAUAUACGGCCUUAUACGUCGUAUAAUUGGAAUGAGUACGAUUUAGAUCCCUUAACGAGGAACAAUUGGAGGGCAAGUCUGGUGGCAGCAGCCGCGGGAAUUCCAGCUCCAAUAGCGUAUAUUAUAGUUGUUGCAGUUAAAAAGCUCGUAGUUGGACCUUGGACCUGGACAGGUUGUCCGCCUCACGGCGAGGACUGGCUUGCUGGGUCUUUCCUCUUGGCGAUCUGCUGUUUCCGCAGCAUGGAACCAGAAGUUUUACUUUGAACAAAUUAGAGUGUCACAUCAGGCUUGACGCUCGAUUAUCAUGGCAUGGAAUAUAGAAUAGGACGUGCGGUUUAUGUUUCUGGUUUGGAAAUAGCAGUAAUGAUGAUAGUGACAGUCGUGGGCAUCAGUAGUCACAUGCAGAGGUGAAAUUCUGGAUAUGGUGAAGACUAACGUAUGCGUAAGCAUUUGCCAUGGAUGUUUUCAUGAUCAAGAAUGAAGGUUAGAGUAUCGAUCACGAUUAGAUGCCGUUGUAGUCAUAACAGUAACCUAUUCCGAAUAGGGAUCGGUCGAUGUUAUCUAUUUGACUCGAUCGGCACGAUACGAGAAAUCAAAGUUUUCGGGUUCUGAGGGGAGUAUCAUCGCAAGGCUGAAACUUAAAGAAAUUGACGGAAGGGCACCACCAGGAGUGGAGCCUGCGGUUUAAUUUGAUUCAACACGGGGAAACUCAUCAGGUCCCGACAUAGGAAGGAUGGACAGAGUGAUAGCUCUUUCUUGAUUCUAUGGGUGCAUGGUGCAUGGCCGUUCUUAGUAGGUGGAGUGAUUUGUAUGGUUAAUUCCGAUAACGAACGAGACCUUAACAUGAUAAAUAGCCCCAUCGACUAUGGUUGGUGGCUGGCUUCUUAGAGGGAGAUAUUGGCUUCCAGCCAAUGGAAGUUUGAGGCAAUAACAGGUCUGUGAUGCCCUUAGAUGUUCUGGGCCGCACGCGCGCUACACUGACGGAGCCAACGAGUACUUUCCUCGUCCGGAAGGACUGGGUAAUCUUGUGAAAAUUAGUCGUGCUGGGGAUAGAGCAUUGCAAUUAUUGCUCUUCAUCGAGGAAUUCCUAGUAAGCGUGAGUCAUCGAGCUCGCGUCGAUUACGUCCUUGCCCUUUGUACACCCCGCCCGUCGUUACUACCGAUUGAAUGGCUUAGUGAGCCUUUGGGAUUGGCGGCUCGUACCGGCUACGGUAGCGGGCCGCUGAAAACUUAUGCGAACUUGGUCUUUUGGAGGAAGUAAAAGUCGUAAC
rnacentral:rRNA from 1 species